UCGGGAAUUUUGGGCAAUGGGCGAAAGCCUGACCCAGCAACGCCGCGUGAGGGAUGAAGUAUUUCGGUAUGUAAACCUCGAAAGAAUGGGAAGAAUAAAUGACGGUACCAUUUAUAAGCUCCGGCUAACUACGUGCCAGCAGCCGCGGUAAUACGUCGGGAGCAAGCGUUGUUCGGAUUUACUGGGCGUAAAGGGCGCGUAGGCGGCGCGGUAAGUCACUUGUGAAAUCUCUGAGCUUAACUCAGAACGGCCAAGUGAUACUGCUGUGCUAGAGUGCGGAAGAGGCGACCGGAAUUCUUGGUGUAGCGGUGAAAUGCGUAGAUAUCAAGAGGAACACCUGAGGCGAAGGCGGGUUGCUGGGCCGACACUGACGCUGAUGCGCGAAAGCCAGGGGAGCAAACG
rnacentral:rRNA from 1 species